CUAUCUGGCAGUACAGAGCUAGGCACCGCGAGCACGCGACGCUUUUAAAAAAGAAAAAUCAAUUUUGACAUUUUGCCGCGCGGCAUUUUCGUACGCCGAACAUUUUCACGCGCCAAUUUCUAAACUUUUUAAAAGGUAUUUUUCAGUGAACUUUCUAUCGUGAUAUUUUUCUGUUAUUAAAAUAUUAGUGUGAGGUGUGUUGCUGAACGAAAGUAAAAGGAGGUGAAACGCUUAUUUGUAAUUUGACCAGCCAUGCGUUCACAUUGAGUGUCCCCUACACUAUCCAACAUGUCGGGUCGGGCAGCCGCGGUGUUGGUCGAGCGCGCCAACAAGUCGUACGGCCGACAAGACAAGCCCGACCACAAGCCUGUGCUUACACACCUCGAUAUGACCGUCGAGAAAGGGAUCAUUUACGGCCUGCUAGGUCCCUCAGGGUGCGGUAAGACAACCUUACUGUCCUGCAUCGUGGGUCGACGCAAGCUGGACAGCGGCAACAUCUGGGUGCUGGGGGGACAACCUGGAGAGAAGGGAAGCGGUGUACCUGGACCCAGGGUCGGGUAUAUGCCACAGGACAUAGCCCUAGUGGGAGAAUUCACAGUUCGCGAUGCAGUCUACUACUUCGGGCGGAUUUACGGCAUGAAAAUGCCCAAACUGGCCGAACGGUUCGACUUCCUGAGCGACCUGCUAGAGUUACCGAGUGGCGGUAGAUUUGUGAAGAACCUCUCUGGGGGACAGCAGCGAAGGGUGUCCCUGGCCGCAGCACUAGUCCACGAACCCGAGCUACUGAUUUUGGACGAGCCUACCGUCGGUUUGGACCCUGUUUUACGGGAACGUAUCUGGGAAUUCCUAGCUGAGUUAGCGCGAGGAGGGACUACUGUCAUCAUCACCACACACUACAUUGACGAAACCAAACAAGCACACAAGAUCGGGCUCCUCAGGGACGGACAACUACUAGCGGAGGACUCCCCUGAGGGGAUCCUGAGGAAGUUCGACUGCGACACGUUGGAGGAAGCGUUCCUCAAGCUGGCGUUACGGCAGCAUCAGCUACCUCGACGGAGAUCCACUCUAACCGGGUCCCCUGAUGUCAUCCCCGAGAGUCGAAUCCCGGCCGUGGAGAGUCGCUACCAGUCCAGCGAAUCAUUCAACGUAGUCACCAGCAGUACUGAUGUUUUAACCAAAAAAGGCGAACCAAAACAUUGUAGGACGAGCAGAGCGAAAUCGAGGUAUAAGGCUGUGUUUAUAAAGAGUAUACAACAGUUCUCUAGGCAUCCAGGAGGUUUAAUAUUCUCCAUUCUAUUCCCCAUCAUCCAAGUGGUGGCGUUUUUCGCUGCGGUGGGGCACGACCCGCGGGACUUGAAGCUCGCGGUGGUCAACGACGAAGCAGCCUUCUCACCAUAUGGUCUGGACAUCUGCAAGAACACGAGCCUACGCGUGGUGACGCUGGUGAACGAGGAUACCUGCGACACCUACAUGCUGAGCUGCUGGUUCCUCGAGGAGAUGGAGAAACGACAGAUAUAUCAGAUACCAUACAACACGACAGCCGAAGCCAAGCAAGCCGUGGUGAAGGGCAGACUGUACGGAGCCCUGCACUUCAACACCAACUUCAGCGAGGCGCUGGCCACGAGGGUGCGGGAGGGACACGUGGAAGACGACGUCAUCGCCGGCAGCACCAUCAGCGUCUGGCUCGAUAUGACAAAUCAUCAGAUCUCCCACUUCCUCAAAUCAUCGCUCCACAAAGCGUACGAGAGCUUCACGAAGCGAGCCAUGAAAGCGUGCAACCGACACGAAAACUUAGUACAGAUUCCAGUGCACUUCCAAGAGCCGAUCUACGGUGAGAUGAACACUCAGAUGGUUGGAUACAUGGCGCCCGGGAUUAUGAUCACCAUAAUCUUCUUCCUUCCGGCCAUCGUGACGUCCAACCUGAUGAUAGCGGACCGGCUGGAGGGCGUCUGGGAGCGGAGCGCCGUGGCCGGGGUCAAACCCAAGGAGAUGCUCUACGUUCACAUCACGCUGCAGACCGCUGUCAUAUUUAUACAAACUCUGGAAAUGAUAGCCCUAGCAUUCGGCGGGUACGGGCUUCCCACGCGUGGGUCGCUGGUCACCAGUGGGACUCUGCUCUUCCUGCAGGGGCUGAGUGGGAUGUGCUACGGGUUCCUCCUGUCCAUAUACUGUAACAGCUACACUCUUGCCUUCUUCGUCGCCACCGGCAGUUUCUACCCCAUGAUAUUAUUGUGUGGGAUCCUCUGGCCACUCGAAGCAAUGUCCGACGGUCUCCGGUUCAUCGCCCUGACACUACCAUUCACCAUUCCAUCUCGGUCCCUGAGAGAUGUCAUGGAGAAAGGGUACACCAUCACCGACCCCUCAGUCUACAAUGGAUUCCUAGUUACUGUAGCUUGGAUUGUCAUCACCCUAGCCUUAUGCCUGCUUAGGUUGAAGUAUAAAAAGACUUAGGAACUGACAAAUUGUGAUGUAAAUAAAUAGUAUUUAGUUAGUAUUUUUAAAGUCACAUAAUACAGAGUGUUACUGACAUCAUAAUGAAUACUAAGGGGGAUGAUUCAGACCAUGAUUCUGGGUUGAUAUCAAGUGGAAUUUCCUGUCAGAAAAUUCGUGGUUUUUUACGGCUAAUAGCCGGGCCGGGGGUGCUUCGGAGGGGACGUUAAGCCGUUGGUCCCGAUUACUAUUUACUGAUGUAAGUAAGUAAUCGUUACGUGAGCCAUGUCAGGGGCCUUUGGCGGCUCAAUCAUAACCCUGACACCAGGGUUGAUGAGGCUGGUAUUCCACCUCACAACCCACACGAUAAGAAGCCGGGACCAACAGCUUAACGUGCCCUCCGAAACACGGGAUCAUCAUGCUUUUUCAGUCAAUCAGGUAAUUCAAGUCUGAAAAGUCCUUGCCAGACAAAGGACUAAGUGAUUUCGACAAUGUCCCCAUCAGGAAUCGAACCUGGACCUCCAGAUCGUAAGCCUAACGCUCUAAAUGGUAUCACGGUUAAAUGAGGGCCAAUUUGGCCUCCUGUAUAAACAACGAAACUGUGUAUGUAGACAGCGAAACUAUUUUCUACGUUUUGUUAGUUUUGAGCUAUGAAAUAGCUCCCUGGGUAGCCUGUAUAUAGCUUUUGGUAUUAUAUUAUCGUCUCUCUCGGGUUUUACAAUUUUAUACCGCGUUUAGGUAAUGUUUAUUAUACAUUUUUAUAUUUUUUAAAGGUGUUUAUAUUAUGUAAGGCCUUGGAUUGGCAGUAUAUUACUGCCAAGCCAUUGUGUUAGGAAAUAAUUAUAAAAAUGUCAAGCUACGUAUGGAAUUUAUUUUUAUGUAGGGCUAAAAGUUAGGUAGGAUAAUAAAUGUUUAAGUAUAGGGAGAAAAUUGUAUAAUUAUGCUAUGGCAACACUGAGUGACGUUGGAUUAUUCCCAUUAGUCCCCUUUAGCAAUGUCCCCCGGGGUAUGGCUGGAGUAUAUCUUGUAUCUUUUAAGGCCCUGCGCAGACGACAGACUAUCCGUGACGCACUUUUUAGUCUGUGAAAAUAUAACCUAUGCAAUUAUAUGCAGUAACGCGCCGGACAUUUUUCGCGUCGUGUGCGUUACUGCAUAUAAUUGCAUAGGUUAUAUUAUCACAGACUAAAAAGUGCGUCACGGAUAGUCUGUCGUCUGCGCAGGGCCUAAUUCUAUUACCUACUUUUAUUUAUCUGUUUUCUCCAGACCAUCACGAAAAAAUGCUGUACAUUUUUUUUAUCUACCCUAACCCUUUUUAAUCUAACCUAAUCCUUUCUUAUCAAACUGAAGUUUCAGCAUUUUCGGUCUAACCUAACUUUUUAGUUAAGCAAGAUUAAGAAGGGGUUGGGUUAGACCUAAAAGGGUUAGGUUAGUUAAAAAAAGAGUUGGGUUAGAUCAAAAAAAGGUUAGGUUAGAUCAAAAAAGGGUUAGGUUGGAUCAAAAAAGAUUAUAUGGGAUAAAGGGUUACUUUAAAUCAAAAGAGGGUUACGUUAGAUCAAAAAAGGGGUAGGGUAGAUAAAAAAUGAGUGUGUAAUUUGUAUCGUACUUUUUGCAUGUUGCUCGAGCAAAUAGUUUUAUGUAGUAGAAGACAGAAUAGGUAUUCCAUACAAGUCGUGAUGGACGCCUGGGAAGGGGUCGUAGCAAUUGUCGUAGCAAGUGACAAGCGGGAACAAAAUUCCCAGUUGUCACCACGGGGGACAGCGGUAAAGGGGACUGACUACUGGGAAUAAUCAAUAAUGUUAAUGUGGCCUCAUUACUGUUUUAAAUGUACGCCAUUUGUAGCUUAUUAUUAAAGAAUAUUUAGCAUUUCUCAAAUUCGGCUUGGAUUGCCGAAUGGUUCGAGACAUUUGCCGUACUCUAAGGGUCUUGUGAUACACGUUAUUGUGAUUUGUGGGUAUUUAUGAAUAAAGAGUUUACAAAAG
rnacentral:misc_RNA from 1 species